rnacentral:rRNA from 1 species
AGGAAUAUUGCUCAAUGGGAGAAAUCCUGAAGCAGCAACGCCGCGUGGAGGAUGAAGGGUCUAUGACUUGUAAACUCCUGUAAAGAAGGAAAAAAUUCCCAUUUGAUGGGAGAUGAUGGUACUUCUGGAGUAAGCCCCGGCUAACUACGUGCCAGCAGACGCGGUAAUACGUAGGGGGCAAGCGUUGUCCGGAUUUACCGGGUGUAAAGGGUGCUCAGGCGGAAUUGUAAGUCAGAGGUGAAAUCUUACAGCUUAACUGUGAAACUGCCUUGGAUGCUGCAAGCCUGGAGUAUGGAAGAGAGUGAUGGAAUAUCUGGUGUAGCAGUGAAAUGCGUAGAUAUCAGAUAGAACACCAAUGGCGAAGGCAGUCACUUGGUCCAUUACUGACGCUAAAGCACGAAAGCGUGGGUAGCAAACA